rnacentral:rRNA from 1 species
CCUACGGGAGGCAGCAGUAGGGAAUAUUGCUCAAUGGGGGAAACCCUGAAGCAGCAACGCCGCGUGGGGGAUGAAGGUUUUCGGAUUGGAAAAUCCUUUUGUUAGAGAAGAUACUGACGGUAUCUAACGAAUAAGCACCGGCUAACUCCGUGCCAGCAGCCGCGGUAAUACGGAGGGUGCAAGCGUUACUCGGAAUCAAUGGGCGUUAAGAGCGCGUAGGCGGGAUAGUAAGGCAGAUGUGAAAUCCUAUGGCUUAACCAUAGAACUGCAUUUGAAACUGGUGUUCUUGAGUAUGGGAGAGGUAUGUGGAAUGCGUGGUGUAGGGGUAAAAUGCGUAGAGAUCAAGCGGAAUACUGAUUGCGAAGGCGACCUGCUAGAACCUGACUGACGCUGAUGCGCGAAAGCGUGGGGAUCGAACAGGAUUAGAUACCCUUGUAGUC